UCCAAGCUGUAAAAUCUCAACUCCUACAGCCUUUUUUCAUGAGAGCUAUAUUACAACUCUCUCAUCGUUCUUGAGGCCCUCCUCUGGACUCUCUCUAAUACGUCCACAUCUUUCUUAUGCUGGGGGCUCCAGAGCUGAAUGUAGUUCUCCAGCAGAUAUGAAGGAUGAAAAUAAACAGAACAUAAAGGACGGGAGAGUUGAAAGAAUAAAAGUCAGGACCAGAAAGAGAAUGAGGAAAAUCCAGAUAAGUCCGUUCCCUGCUGAACAAGAUGUCUGUCAGUUUCUCCAGCACCCAGCUUGAGCCAAUACUGUCGUCGCUAUUUGGCUGAGCAAGGCCUUGCCUGCAACGGCCAGUGUUUGAACAAGGCAAAGGCCAGACCAAAGAUCACCAUGGGAGUACUGUCUUUGGACAGUAGACUAUCGCACGAGAGAUUUUUCGUAUUGCUAUAGAAGAAGAGAAGAACAGAUGGCUGUAUUUUAAAAGUGGACAGACAUAGAAACAAUAGGUAAUACCACUUUAAAAACUGAGAGGUGAGGAGGAAGCUAAUAAUUUUAGUUAGAUUUGCAGACUUAAAGUUUCCUGCUGCACCUAUUUCCUAAGUGAUCCAGGGGUCACAACAGUAGUUUCAGCAUGUGAACAACAUUGGGGUGGCUGUGAAAUUCUAAACUUAUUUUAUACUCUGAAGUUAUCAAAUGGAGUUCUAAUGUUUACUGCAUUUUGUGUAAAUGAUUGUUUAUUGCCUGUGGCUUUCAAUCUUUGGAAUGGUAUAGAGAACAAUUGAAGUGUAAUCUGUUUUUGAAAA